rnacentral:rRNA from 1 species
AACGAACGCUGGCGGCAUGCCUAACACAUGCAAGUCGAACGAGACCUUCGGGUCUAGUGGCGCACGGGUGCGUAACGCGUGGGAACCUUCCCUUAGGUUCGGAAUAACUCCCCGAAAGGGGUGCUAAUACCGGAUAAUGUCUUCGGACCAAAGAUUUAUCGCCUUUGGAUGGGCCCGCGUUGGAUUAGCUAGUUGGUAGGGUAAAAGCCUACCAAGGCGACGAUCCAUAGCUGGUCUGAGAGGAUGAUCAGCCACACUGGGACUGAGACACGGCCCAGACUCCUACGGGAGGCAGCAGUGGGGAAUAUUGGACAAUGGGCGAGAGCCUGAUCCAGCAAUGCCGCGUGAGUGAUGAAGGCCUUAGGGUUGUAAAGCUCUUUUAACCGGGAUGAUAAUGACAGUACCGGGAGAAUAAGCUCCGGCUAACUCCGUG